UGCAACAAUGAAUGGUAACAAUAACA
rnacentral:sRNA from 1 species